CAGUAGCCGCGGUAAUACAGAGGGUGCAAGCGUUAAUCGGAAUUACUGGGCGUAAAGCGCGCGUAGGUGGUUUGUUAAGUUGGAUGUGAAAGCCCCGGGCUCAACCUGGGAACUGAAUCCAAAACUGGCAAGCUAGAGUACGGUAGAGGGUGGUGGAAUUUCCUGUGUAGCGGUGAAAUGCGUAGAUAUAGGAAGGAACACCAGUGGCGAAGGCGACCACCUGGACUGAUACUGACACUGAGGUGCGAAAGCGUGGGGAGCAAACAGGAUUAGAGACCCCGGUAGUCCCUGUCUCUUAUAC
rnacentral:rRNA from 1 species